GUCUACGGCCAUGUUACCCUGAACAAACCCAAUGCCAUCUGAUCUCGGAAGCUAAGUAGGGUCAGGGCCUGGUUAGUAUUUGGAUGGGAGACCACCCAGGAAGACCAGGUGCUGUAGGCG
rnacentral:rRNA from 1 species